UGAUCCCAUGUUGCUGGCGCUCA
rnacentral:sRNA from 1 species